GAAUUGAGCAGUGAGACUUCAGUGGCGUUAUUUAUACACCAAAACUGGUUAAUUAAGCUAAGGUUAUGUUAGUGCUUAGAGUAUCCCUUUGUCAUGUAUUCAUCCGCACAUAAAAAUGUGGUUAAUGGCAUUUACUGUCCUGACAGGAAAAGUUGUGCCGAGCAACUUUACCGUCCUGACAGGAAAAGUUGUGCCAAGCAGCAAUCAUGCACAUGCAAACCUGGUAAGUACUUUUGGG